AUGCACUCACCUCGUGGCUCAGCCCUUCGAAGGUUACGUUUGCUGUGUGGAGAAGCAGUUGACUUUGCCGGUAGGGAACGUCUCAUUGCACCCCUUUUCCACGCCAUCUGUCUGACCUGGACCCAUUCCAAACACUAUGGCUUUGCUGGCAGAAUGGUCUUCCUGCUGCAGAAGUUUUGUAAUCUGCUAAUUGACAGGGAAACAACAUGGCUCGGAUGGAUGUGCUGGAGGAAAUGCACCAGGAAAUCCCGAGCAGGGUGCAAUCAGUCAGCAUUAAUGCCCACAAGUAUCAAAGCUACUUGAAGAAAUACAGCUACUUAUGGAUGGGCGAUAAAAUUGAAUUCAUGAAGCAGCUCCUUCUCCAUGGGCAAUUUCUUGGUGCUGAAGAACUAGAAUUGCAUGCAGACUAAGAGUGUCAGAACUCCACACUGCUGUCAGCACACUUUGAAGAACCGGCAUUGAAUUUUAGCCGAGUCUAGCAUUAUCUUUUUCAAUUCCGAGGACAGCUAUUAAAUCAUAAAAUAUUUUGUGAUAUAAAGCUCUUGCUUCUGAGAGAUCUUUCCUUUCUUCCCUUUAAGAUCAACAUCUAUGAAAUAUUAUGUGAAUGAGUUGACAGCUUUAAAAAUCAGAGGAUAUUUAGUGGCUAGCUUCAAGUUGAUAGUAAACCUUUUAAAAACCAAUGAUGAAUGUUAUAAAAAAUUGGGUUUGAUGUUUAAGAAGCAUCUGCUUAACCAUGUAACCUGCAGGGAAAGUAAUUUGAAUCUGGUUGAUUGUGAAAGGAAAUUAAAAUAACACAAAUCAUUUGAUGAAACCAUCCUCAUAGAAUUCUAAUUUA
rnacentral:lncRNA from 1 species